AGCUUGAGCAACAUUGCUGCGGGUGGCAACUGCUGCUGAGGAAAGAACUGAGGAAGCCAUUGCUAAUUACUCUUAAGACAGAAAGAUUUCUCUUUCUCCCUUUUCCUUUAAACUUCCAAGAUGGUCUUUGCAUAGUUAUCCACCACUCUAUAUAUAAUGAUAAGGUUUCGCAUAUUUCCCAUAUCUAACGGACAAAAAUCAACAACUCCCUCAUCUUGGACUAAAGCUAACCAUUGGAUUAUGUGGUUCUUGAUACAUUAUACAAAUCUUAAUAUCCACACACGAAAGGUUGGAAAAUUAUUGUUGGUGCUAAACCACUCUUCAUUUAAGUCACCACAAUGGAGGUGCCACGUGUAAGCACCUCAGUAAUCUUAUCUCAUCCGAGAUGGGGUAGGAAGAGGAUAUGAAUGUGUGAUUGAGGUUAGGUUAAUUUUUUUAGAGUCCCUUUUGCUUGGACUUUAGCCGUAUUUGUUUAU
rnacentral:lncRNA from 1 species